GACGAACGCUGGCGGCGUGCUUAACACAUGCAAGUCGAACGGAAAGGCCCUGCUUUUGUGGGGUGCUCGAGUGGCGAACGGGUGAGUAACACGUGAGUAACCUGCCCUUGACUUUGGGAUAACUUCAGGAAACUGGGGCUAAUACCGGAUAGGAGCUCCUGCUGCAUGGUGGGGGUUGGAAAGUUUCGGCGGUUGGGGAUGGACUCGAGGCUUAUCAGCUUGUUGGUGGGGUAGGGGCUUACCAAGGCUUUGACGGGUAGCCGGCCUGAGAGGGUGACCGGCCACAUUGGGACUGAGAUACGGCCCAGACUCCUACGGGAGGCAGCAGUGGGGAAUAUUGCACAAUGGGCGGAAGCCUGAUGCAGCAACGCCGCGUGCGGGAUGACGGCCUUCGGGUUGUAAACCGCUUUCGCCUGUGACGAAGCGUGAGUGACGGUAAUGGGUAAAGAAGCACCGGCUAACUACGUG
rnacentral:rRNA from 1 species